GAUGAACGCUGGCGGCGUGCCUAAUACAUGCAAGUCGAGCGAACAGACGAGGAGCUUGUUCCUCUGACGUUAGCGGCGGACGGGUGAGUAACACGUGGAUAACCUACCUAUAAGACUGGGAUAACUUCGGGAAACCGGAGCUAAUACCGGAUAAUAUAUUGAACCGCAUGGUUCAAUAGUGAAAGACGGUUUUGCUGUCACUUAUAGAUGGAUCCGCGCCGCAUUAGCUAGUUGGUAAGGUAACGGCUUACCAAGGCAACGAUGCGUAGCCGACCUGAGAGGAUGAUCGGCCACACUGGAACUGAGACACGGUCCAGACUCCUACGGGAGGCAGCAGUGGGGAAUCUUCCGCAAUGGGCGAAAGCUUGACGGAGCAACGCCGCGUGAGUGAUGAAGGUCUUCGGAUCGUAAAACUCUGUUAUUAGGGAAGAACAAAUGUGUAAGUAACUAUGCACGUCUUGACGGUACCUAAUCAGAAAGCCACGGCUAACUACGUG
rnacentral:rRNA from 1 species